rnacentral:rRNA from 1 species
UACGUAGGGUGCAAGCGUUGUUCGGAAUCACUGGGCGUAAAGCGCGUGUAGGCGGCGAGCUCAGUCUAGUGUGAAAGCCCGGGGCUUAACCCCGGAAGUGCACUAGAUACUAGCUUGCUAGAGGACGGGAGAGGAUGGUGGAAUUCCUGGUGUAGGGGUGAAAUCCGUAGAUAUCAGGAGGAACAUCGGUGGCGAAGGCGGCCAUCUGGCCCGUUUCUGACGCUAAGACGCAAAAGCGCGGGUAGCAAACAGG